GGUGGCUCAGUAGUAGAGUGCUUGCUUUACAUGUAUGAGGCCCUGGGUUCAAUUCCUCAGCACCA
rnacentral:tRNA from 1 species